AGUAAACAAGAACAUGUGAUGGUUGCAGCAGCAUCUUCUCAAAAUAAAUCUACACAGGGUAAAAUUCCAAAUUACUGGCAAAACUCUAAUCAUACUGGGGGGGGGAACUGGUUCCUCCUCCUGCUUUUUCUUUUUUAUAUCCUCAAACAGAUACAGAGCGUUUCCUCGUGGACGGGGAUGGCGUUUGGCUGGAUGUGGAUGGGGAGCCAUGGGGCAAGGUCGCGGAGCACGAGGCCAAGGACCAAAGGAACUUGACGUGCUACCAGUGCAGACAUUUUGGACACUGGGCAAAACACUGUGUGAACAUACCAAAGACUGCCAGGUAUGAUCCCCAACAAUCCUUAUGUGAUUCCUGGACAUUGCUUUCAGGGGAAUACUGAGGCCACACAGAACAUCUACUGAAACACUGCUGAGGACCCCGGAGACAAUGGUUCUCAGGGACUGAACAGAGUCUGCUAUUCACGAUGCCUCUGACCUUCACCUUGGGUAAUCAGAAUAUGAACAAGCUUUUGUCUCUCUCGAACAACACAUGGCGUCAGCUGCAGAGCUCUCCAUCCCUGACUACACUACAGUUCUUUUUGGAUAUUUCUGUAACAAAACUGGCUUUUAAAGGUGUUUUGUUUCAGAAAAGGGGGAGGAAAAGGGCAUCACCCUUGUACGCAACAGGCAGCUGGGAUACCCGAUA